rfam:Peptococcaceae bacterium BRH_c4a BRHa_1002915, whole genome shotgun sequence.
AGGAGGGUAUCCCAUUAAUAGGGAACCUUACCUUGAGGUAUGGUUAAUGUCUAUUCCACAGUUAAAUAUGGAUCCGCUUGGAGCCGGUAAGGACCGAGACGGGAAG